rnacentral:rRNA from 1 species
UGGGGAAUAUUGGACAAUGGGGGCAACCCUGAUCCAGCGAUGCCGCGUGAGUGAAGAAGGCCCUCGGGUCGUAAAGCUCUUUAGGCUGGGAAGAAGUGUAGUAGAGGAAAUGCUAUUACAUUGACGGUACCAGCAGAAUAAGCACCGGCAAACUCUGUGCCAGCAGCCGCGGUAAUACAGAGGGUGCGAGCGUUAAUCGGAGUUACUGGGCGUAAAGGGCGCGUAGGCGGUUAUAUGAGUGUGAUGUGAAAGCCCUGGGCUUAACCUAGGAAGUGCAUCGCAAACGAUAUGACUGGAGUAUGAGAGAGGGUGAUGGAAUUUCCGGUGUAGCGGUGAAAUGCGUAGAGAUCGGAAGGAACGUCGAUGGCGAAGGCAGUCACCUGGCUCAAUACUGACGCUGAGGCGCGAAAGCGUGGGGAGCGAACAGGAUUAGAUACCCCGGUAGUCC